GGCAAGGCUCGAGAAGACUGGAACUCCGACAAUGAACUACAGAGUUAGUGCUACACUCCUGCUGCUGCUUGGAAUUUGUGCAGCUUUGUCUAUGGCGGCUCAUAACAAUAUCAAUUUAGGAUCACGAUGUAGGUGCAGUACGUGUUCAACAAAUCGCAUGUCCGUGGAUAAUAUUCAUAAAAUUGAAAUCAUCGCAGCGAACAAAGAGUGCAAUUACGCGGCAAUCAUAGCUCAUCAGAUUAACCCACGUAAAAUAGUUUGUUUGAGUGGCAAGGCUCUCUGGGUGAAGAUGCUUAUUAUUGGCUUACUGACCAAAACUGCAAAGUCGGAUACAUUUUGAAGGGCUUCAUUGCCACAAUGGUAUCCUGAGGUGAUGAAACAGGUUUUAUACCUACAAAUGUUUUUUUGGUGAAGUGAUUUUAAUUCUAAAUAAAAAGGAUUGUAUCUCUGAUAUGAUUUAAGCAUUAAAUACAUGGCAUUCUAAAAUGUAUUUGUCUGUUCCUAAAUAUAAUGCCAAAUCUUCUAUCUCUUCCCUAUAAGGGAAAGUCUCCAAUAUUAACUCAUAGAAUGAGGUUGACAGCAGAUCAUUCAGCACAAAUGUCUUUGCUGGUUAUGUAUAAGUGAUAUUCAAGUAUUCUCACCUAUAACUCUUCAACUCCCAACCACCACCAAAACACCGCCACCAUUUCAGGUAUUUUCAAAGCCAUGCAAAUUUCUCUGCUUUGAUAGUUCUUCCAACUAACUCUUUAUUGAAAGUUACCAUCAAAUCUGCUUCCAUUGCCUUUUCAGAGAGAAACUCCAGAUUAACAGCUCUUUUCCUUGUGUUUCUUCUGCAAAUUUCUCCACAUCCGUGCCCUCUAGUCAAUGAUGCUUUUGCCACGAGCAACACUUUCAUCGUCCUUCCUCCAUUUUAUAUUUCAUGAUAUACUGGAUAUUGGAUAUACAGUAUGCUUCAAAUCUCACCUUCACUCCACCUCUGCCCUGUUAAAUAAACCAAGCUUUUCUCAAUAAAAUAGAGAUUCCAAAAACAUGGCUUCAUUCUUGUAGAUCAGCUUUGUGGGACUUUGAUUUUGGACGUAAUUUGGUGCCAAGAACUGGAAGGAUUACAUCAGCUAGAAACCUAUGAAAGGUUUAUCAUAAUUCCUCGCUAUUUUUCAAAAUGCUAAUAUAACACAUUCAUUUGUAGGAUGUACAAAGUUGAAUAAAUUUUGGAGCGAUAUAUUUGAUAUAUUUACAAAGCUUUUCAAGUCCACAAUAGAACCUAAAACGGAAUGGAUUAUAUUUGGAAUAAUAGUAGACGAUAUCAAUUUAAAUAAAGACCAAAACGUUUUUUUAAAUUAUGGGUUAAUAAUUGGAAAGAAAUUGAUACGUAAAUUUUGGAAAAAUACAACCAUACCAACUGUUAAAAUGUGGAUUAGGAAUAUGAUGGACAUAGCACGCCUUGAAGAAAUGAGACUCCGACUAAUAGAUAAAUAUGACCAAUUCUUAAGGAGUUGGUCUCCUUUCAUCGACUUUUUGGAAUCAUGUGAUGCAGCGGUACCGUAAAGAUUGCUGAUUUCAGUUCAUGACGUGGAUAGAUCUACAUCUCCGAAUACAGAUUUGAAAUUUUCUCUUUUAAGGGGCCUUCUCUCCUAUUUCUACUUUCCACUUUUUCUUUUUUUUUAUAUACACACUUCACGUUUUUCUAUUCUCUACCAGCUAUUUUUCCUCUUUUCCCCUUUCUAUUGUUUUCUUUUUCUUGUCUUGCUUACUUCUUUCUCAAAACAUAAAACUAGAGGUUGUACAUAGAAUGGAUUACGGUAUUACAUUGUUGGCACCUAAAAUUAGGUUCCACUGUACUGUUUUGUACUGUAUUAACUUCUAAUACGCGAGUCCCCAGUGGGAGACUGCUUUGCGGGGCACCGGCAACGGCGACUUCUACCGCCCGAAUUGCGGGGUUGAGAGUGACCUGGAGCAGGGCCUUACAACGCCCGGCGCGGCUUUGAUUUGCCGCGGACUUGCCAGCGCCCGCCGGGGGCUCCAACACCAAGUCCCGGGGCAGGGCCUUACAUCGCCCGGCGUGGCGUUGAGUGGCCGCGGACAUGCUAGCGCCCGCCGGGGCCUUUGACUGCGACUUCGGGAGAGGAAUGGAGAGCAGGGGAGAGAUAAGACUUUGCCUUCCAUCACAGUGAGCAGGAGACUCACUGUGAUGGAUGUUUGUGUAAAUUGUGUUGGUGUGUGUCUUGGUUCUUUUCUUGUAAGGCUGCAGACACCAAAUUUCGUUUGAACCUCAUGUGAGUAUUGUAAUAAAAUAAACAACAACAAAAAACACCAACAAAAUAAAUAAAUAAUACAAAAUGCUAGAAGUGCUGAGAAACUGAGCAAUUAUGUUGAUCUCAUUGCCAUUAGUGGUUUGUUGAAGAAAAUGGAUGCUUUUUGUGCACAGUGGUAAUGUUUCAAAAGCAUGUUACUGGCUGUGAAGAACUUGCAAUUGGUAAGGAAGUGAACAAUGUUGUGUGAAUGCAAAUUCUUCUUCUCCAUGCGAGAAGUAGGAUAUAAGUAGGGCCAGCAUUUAUUAGUUGUCCAUAAAGCAGCAACAAGCACCAUAGAUGUAUAUCACACAUAUAAAGCCAAUGAUAAUGAUUGUUUCAUUAAACUAAAUAGAUUACAAAAAAAUAAAAAAUAAUAAUUCCUCUCUAUUUUUUAAUUCUAUGAUGAGAUGGACAAAGCACACAAUCCCUGUUUCCUUUUUUAAUGGCAGUCAUUGGCACAUCAGGAUGGAGGUGAUUGAGCUUUCCUGAUCUGAUGACAUUGUAAAUCCAGGGGCACGGUACUACACCCGACUACGCUUUUUCCAGACACAUCUUUCCAGCCACUGCUCCAUUCUUUUCAGGGUCUCUAAUACUUUGUCAUUCUUCUUUUCUCUGUCGGUAACACGAGGAACAUUAAAUUAGAGUAACUAGGGUAAUGUGGAUGAACAUUCUUAAGGAGUUGGUCUCCUUUCAACGACUUUUUUUGUGUAGAGUAAUUGUGAAAGAAGGCGAAUGGUAUGUUAGCAUUCAUAGCAAAAGGAUUUGAGUAUAGGAGCAGGGAGGUUCUACCGCAGUUGUACAGGGCCUUGGUGAGACCACACCUGGAGUAUUGCGUACAGUUUUGGUCUCCUAAUCUGAGGAAAGACAUUUUUGCCAUAGAGGGAGUACAGAGAAGGUUCACCAGACUGAUUUCUGGGAUGUCAGGACUUUCAUAUGAAGAAAGACUGGAUAGACUCGGUUUGUACUAGCUAGAAUUUAGAAGAUUGAGGGUGGAUCUUAUAGAAACUUACAAAAUUCGUAAGGGGUUGGACAGACUUGAUGCAGGAAGAUUGUUCCCGAUGUUGGGGAAGUCCAGAACAAGGGGUCACAGUUUAAGGAUAAGGGGGAAAUCUUUUAGGACCGAGAUGAGGAAAACCAUUUUUCACACAGAGAGUGGUGAAUCUCUGGAAUUCUCUGCCGCAGAAGGUAGUUGAGGCCAGUUCAUUGGCUAUAUUUAAGAGGCCCUUGUGGCUAAAGGGAUCAGGGGGUAUGGAGAGAAGGCAGGUACAGGAUACUGAGUUGGAUGAUCAGCCAUGAUCAUAUUGAAUGGCGGUGCAAGCUCAAAGGGCCGAAUGGCCUACUCCUGCACCUAUUUUCUAUGUUUCUAUGUUUCUAUGAAUGGCCUUUAGUUUAAGAACAUACUUCAUAUUAUUUGAAGCUAUAAGCAGCAAGGCACAGAAAGAAAUGUGUCUGUCAAGAGCUUGCUAUAUUAUAUGUAUGAAAAACUGUGUGCGUUCAAGUUUUGUUAAUAAACUGCUUUGAAUCCAAUAAUCGUAUCCUGGUCAUCAUUUUAAAGAGACACAGGGAGAAUGAUACGGAACACCAAAGCUGUGUUAAGUCAAUUAGAUUUAUAGAACACAAAAACAGGCUGAAUGUCUGAAAAUGGGUCUUGACCCGAAACAUCACCUAUUCUUUUCUCCAGAAUUGAUGCCUGACCCGAUGCAUUUUGCAACUCCAGCAUUUUGUGUCUAUCUUCGACAGAAACAGACAAAUCAGCAUGCCCAUGACAUCCAGUA